GCUUGCGUAGCUCAAUCGGUAGAGCGCCAUCUCGAUAAGGUGGAGGUAUCUGGAUCGUAACCAGGGGCAAGCACCA
rnacentral:tRNA from 1 species